UCCCGCUUCUCAGGCGAACUCUCAUGUCCCCGCGUCCCGCCCCCGCCCCCCCCCCCCCGAUCUGACCCGCCCCCGCCUGGGGCUGGAGCCGUGGAGCCGGAGACCCCCAUCGUCUCUGGGCUGCAGCGUUGGAGCCGUGUUUUCCGCCAGCUCAUUCCAUCCUUCCAGGCACCCGGGAAGGGAAGUGGCUGCAGUGGAGCCGGGGGAGGGGCCGGUGACCUUCGAGGAGGUGGCUGUGUAUUUCACCAGGGGAG